UAUAGGGGGCAUGUUUGGCCAUUGGAGAAUAUCUUAAGGGGUAGAUAUGUCUCAGAAAAUAAAAAUUUUACUCCUCUUCUCUUCCUCUUAAUAUUCCCAGCAACUGCAUGUGCAGAUGUUAAUGGGGGACCUCAAUCAUCUGUCACUGUCUACAUGUACAUAUCUCUACUAACAGACACUUGAAAAUUUGUUAUCUUUAAUAAUCAUUAUCAAUGAAGAUGUACUGCCAGCUACUGUGUUUUUGUGUGACGUGGCAUUAAUGGA
rnacentral:misc_RNA from 1 species